rnacentral:tRNA from 1 species
AAUUAAUGAACUUGAAUAAGUAUAUACUUUGAAAGUAUUAAAAAGAAGAAUAACCUUCUAUUAAUUU